ACAUCUCAAAAGGCUCUGAAGAAAUUAAGUAUGAACUUGUGUGCAGAAAGGAUUAACUUAUAAAUAAUAACUAAUGGAUACAGUUAUCUUCUUUAUCUGUAUUUCUUUUCAUACAAUGGUUCACGGCUUGAACUAGGAAGAGCUGCAAAGUCAUUGGACAAAGUCAGGUGAGCGCCGAUUUUUCAAAUUCACUCUCAGCACUGUAAUUGGCUAAUAGCCUUGUCGCUGAGAAAUGGUGAGUUCUGAUUGGUUGAUUCGAUCAGAAGGCGGGUCAUCAACAGUUGCUCUGAUUCCGACCGACAGGCAGCAGCAGCUCAACAUACUCGUAAUGUUUCUGGAAAAUAGUAUCCGCCAGCUUUAUCGAAGGUAAGAUCAAUUUUCUCUGUAUGAGUUUCUUAGUUAGCGCUUUCUUGCCUUGAUUAUGUGUGAUUUUGUAAUUAGCCAAAGUAGCUCACACUGUUACCAACAACUACGCUUGCUAGAAAAGUAUCGUUUUUCCGACUAAAUGUGCUCAAAUAUGGACAUGCUAUAUGGCGUUGGAAAGCGUAGAACCUCCUGACUUUCAUGGUGAUAUUUAUUUCACACUCCGGACCACUUAUUUUCGCUGCGCGAUCGCGUCGAGGCAAACGUCAGCUGUUAGCAACGUUGUUAGCUUUGUGAGCACCAGAAUCGCACAUUCAAUUUGUUUGUGGGGAUAUGGGUGAUGUUAAGAGUUAGUUUUUGGAUUAGAAAGAGCCUUAACAUUUUAAGCACUAACAAUAAUAAUAUCCAACAAAACUUUUAGUUAUUUUGAUAAUAGUGGUGUUUCAGCUUUGUACUUCCCCUCAUUAAACAUACCUGUACUUUGCUUGAUUGUUUGCAUAGAAACAAGAAGAUGAGGGAAAAAAGAGACCACAUGCAUCAUCUGUGCACACCCAGCACCCAGGAAUGUAAGUUAAUUCUAUCAUUCCUUAUACUGAGUAAACGUUACCACUUUUGUGUAGUAUUUUUUGUGACUAUGUUUGGAUUUACUAUAGAUAAUUUUCUUUUUUCCAUCUUCAUUUUCAGGUCUGAUUUCUCUGUUCUGCACCAGCCUUAUGCAUGCCCCUCUGAACUCAAGAAAAGAUCCUGGCUUCUGCAUCCAGCCCCAUUUGGUCCACAACUCUACCCCAGGCCUGCUCUCUCCCUCAGCCAAGUGGAGUCCCUACAAAACGUGGUGCACAACUGGAGACAGGACAAAGAUUUCACCUGAUGCCACGUGACGACGAGCUCAAGCACACGCAUUUUAAAACAGAAGAAAGGAAAAAUGGACAUCAAGCAGACGUGACCGCAGAUCAUCUUUACAGUUUACAAUAUGAAGAUUUACCAAGAUGAACACAAAACAUCCAGAACAGAAGGUUAACAAAUCAACUUUCCUGGACGAAUGGACAGUUACUUUUGGGCAAUGCUGGAAAAGUCCUGAAGGAAAAAACUUUGGAAGAGAAGAGUGAGUACUUCUCUGCAAGGCUAACAUCACCUGUUAGACUGCUACCCUGCCUGUGGGUAGGAUCGACAGCAGUGGUCUCCAACCUGAAUUCCUUGGUGAGCUACUUUUAUUUAACAAAAAUGAUAGAGCUAAUCUACAUAUCGAUGCCCUAUGUGACUUUGGUGGGGUAUUGAGGAUAUUUAAAAAACAAUUAAAGAAAAAUAACUUGAGUUUACUCAAUGCUUAUGCUUCACUGUAUUUAGUUAAUUGUUAGCAGAAAGUGUCUACACGCACACACACUUUGUCAGAGAUGGUACUUUUUUAUUUUAAGUCUAAUUAUUCUACUCUGUUGUAACCUCAUUAACUUAACACUUAAGUGUCAGACAGAGCUGAUGUGAAAGUUCAACCCCAAAUUAAGGUCUUGUUGCACAGUUCAAUAUGAAAUGCACCAUUUGAAUGUUUUAUUGCAUUGACGACUGUCUGUAGCCCUCUUGUUCACACUUCAAUGUGGCUUCAGUGAAAAAGUUUUAUUUAUUUCUGCAAUAUUUGUUGUCUUGCAUGUAUUAAAUAAAUGCAUCAUUUGCAAAUAAAGUAAGAUUUAAUAUUUUUUUCUCUAUCAUAGCCUGUGUAGACCUAGUUCUGGUAAAGUAAUAGCUAAUGCAAGUUAGUGUAUUUUUAUAAACUAAAAAUGAGACUAAAAGUAUACUGCUAGUAAACUAAGAGUAUAAAAGAAGGUUACUUUAAAG
ensembl:lncRNA